GUAAAAUGUCAUAAGACACCGGAAACACCUACGCGACUGAGGCUCAGUGCGUGCUGGGAGUUGUAGUUUUUUUUUUUUUUUUUUCCGCCACUAUGUUUUUCUUUUUCUUUUGCGAAUACUUAUAGUACUGUACGAACAGUCAGGGAGAUAACCAUCUCCUUCAUGCCUGCCACAGUGAUCAUCUACAUAGUGAUACUCUUCUUCAGUCCAGGUACCAACAUAUUAAGGUUAUCUAUUCAUUGUUACCGAAGGCACCCUAACAUUCAGUACAAGCUCAGACAUGUCAAUGUGACUUUUUCAUCCAGAAAACCAAUAUUUUUAUUUCCACAUGAAUGGCUAAUGUUUCCCUGCCAAGGGUGAAAACAUACAAUACAAACCAUCUGUGAAGAUGUGAACCCUGGUUACAUCAACAUUCACGUUAGUAUUAGUGUUAACUUGAUUUAGAAAACAAAAACUGAGGUCCACAUUGAAAUUUUAUUUCAUGAUAGUGGGGGGUUAUUCAAAUCUAGUGUUGUGAACAUACAAAAUUAACAACUUAUUGGAAAACAUGGUUAAAGUAAAAUAAAUCAUACAAAAUCAUAGUUUAAGUAACAUGUUCUAAACCACAUCAAUCCUAGUUUUUGUCAAUACUGAUUGUUUUAACAACAGAACUACAAUAUUCUCUAUUCAAAGACACUAAAUGUUACAAAUAGUUUGAAGGGAGAGUAUUUAGUUGGCAUGGUGUGUGGUUGAGAAACACAGUUUCAGUGUGUAAGGGUAAGGCCCACCUGGAAGAAGGAAGAAAACACAUUUUAAAAGGACAAUAUGAAGGCUUUAAAAUGUACAGUAAAUCAAAUCAACUACAUGGCCAACUUUUAAGAACCAUGUCUGUAUGUGAAUGUAAUAAGAGGGGAACUUACUAGGAUUUUUCAUCUGGUAAUGGUUCAUCAAAGCUAGGGCUUCCAUGGCAUCAUUGAUGGAUUCCCACUCCAGAAGGCCAGAUGAACUUCGCUCACCUUUCGUGGCACACAAGAUGACUGAUUAGAUCACCAAACUGAAUAAUACUGAACCGUGUUAAUGCCGUGAACUAAAAUAUCAAUAUUCAAAUGUAAUGUAUGUCAUGCAAUUUUAACUAAGUGAAUUCAAAUUAAUUGAGAAUUUUAACCUUUUCUAUAACAUUGACUUAUAGACACUUCAGUAAACAAUAUUUAUGCUGCUGAAACUAAUUAAACAUUUUUCUCUUGGAUCCCAUUUUAAAUGAUCUAGUUAGCAAAUUAUACCUUUCAGAAAGUAAUCUGACGUUUGCUCUGAUUACCUGUCACAUGGAUAGUUUCACAGUAUGUCAAUGCGUUGUUGGCAACUGACUGAGUAUUGCAGAUAAAAUAGAAACUGUAAGGUGUACAUACAGACUGUGCCUUCUGUGUACACUCAAACAAUGUUCCCAGCCCCUGUACUGUAAGUGUAUAGAAAUGGUUUAAUUUUUGUAUUCUUACACACACAUCUACUUAUCCACUCAUUACUUUUUAAAAGUCUAGAAACCAGAAUCAUCAUUAAUAUUGUUCAUCAGAAAAUCAAAGCACUCUUCAACAAAACUGGUUUAUAUUACUGGUCUGGCUGUCAAACAGAGAUUACUCACUCUUUCCAGUGAAAAGUUUGACACUUGUGGGGCUCUUAAUUCCCAGUUCAUCGCAGACCUGGAAGGAAAGACCAGUUACAGUGAGAAUCUGAGGCUGUGGUCUGUGGAACAUGUACACUUCAGAGAGGACCCUGGUAGCUUUUCUGACCUGGUUGAAGAUCUCUACAGAGAUGUCGGGCUGUGCGUUAAAGAAGUGCAAGACGUUGCUGGGGUGUUGGAUUCUGUUCUUGGCCGCCUGCUCUGGGGAGGUGAAGCGGUUGUUGCGGGAUCCAUGGAAAUCUUUGAAGCUGCUGGUGUUGUCCUCUAACUGGUAGCACUGCCCUGGCACAAUAGCCUGCUGCUUGGACACACUGCAGAGGAAACAGGGCCAGAGGUCUUACAGAUCUAGCUCUGCACUUUUAAUAGUCUAUGCUAAGGUUUCGGAAUUGUUGGACAGCUGCUCUUACCAAACGUUGAGUUUCUGUCCGAAAAGGAAGUUGUUGUUGAGGUGAGUGAUGGCCCUGUCCACAGAGUAACAGUCUCCCAUCUCCACCAUUGCUGCUCCUGGCUUACUCUUCAUGAACUUAAUCUGAAGGGAAAAAAACAUCCAGCUGACUCACACAAACAAGAGCAUGAUGCCAGAACUAAUAAUUAUUUUCAUUAUCAGUUAAUCUGUCAGUUUCUUGAUUACCUUUAUUUCAGUCGAAGAAAUGAUAACAAAUAGUGAAAAAAUGGUCUUCCAUUUGCCUGUUUCGUCUGACUAGCAGUUUAAAACCAUGCGGCAACCUCUGGGUUUAAAAAUUAAUUUGUGCAAAAACUGCAGUUCCUCGAAUGGCCACUUGAGGCAGACUCCAAAAGUGAGUCAAUCUCCGUAAGGCCCCAAAUUAAAAACAAUGUUUACAGGCUGGUACGACAACGAUUUUGGUCUCUAUAGCUAAUUUCCCCUCAUGAUAACUGUACGGGCUGGGAAAAACUCCCGUUUAAAUUAUCUGUGUCUGCUUGAGUUCAUUUGGCUCGCCUCAGCUCCAAGUCAUGUCCAAUAGAUUUUGAGUUGAUAGUGAACUGUUUACACUAACUUUUUACUCAUCACAUUAAUGAGCGGUUUAAUGUGGUGUGUAAUGACUGAUGCUCACUUCACUCACCCUCUCUACAUUGCCAUAGAGGCAGAAGAUGUUGAAGACCUUGUCAGCAUUGAUCUUGGAGGGUUCAAGACCAUAUACCAUAAGAACUGGCGAGUCAGCAUGAGGGCCGUAUUCAGGGGGUGGUGGUCCAUAUCCAGGGCCAUAGCGCUGGCUACCACGACCGCGCCCGCCCAUACCUGGCCCCAUGCGGUGGGGAGGAGGGGGACCGUAGUUGUCGUCACUGUAGCCAUGAUAACCUCCUUGAGGGCCACCUUAGAGAGAAAAAUCACAGAUACAGUACAGAUACAGGAUGGAAUAUGACCCAUUCUUCUUAAGAUCAGACCAGUUUCUUUAUUGGAUAUUUACCAUAAUCAGGUGGAUGGUCUCCCAGGAGAGCAGGCUGCCUCUGGCGUUUGUUGGGAUUGGCAUUAGGAUCUAAAAUGGUAAAAUAAAAGUUGCAUAUCAAACAGCUUCCUGGCUAAAAGGUAUCAAACAGGUACCUUACAUGGGCUACAAUGUGCUAAGGGACGAGGCUGUGAUUAACAUGCAACAGAAGGGCCUGACAUCUAAGGUGUAAAACAAAAAAGUCUGCAGGCUCUAUUUUUCUAAUCUAAUAUGUGACAUAAUGGAGAUUUUUGAACAAUGAUUUUGAAAUACAGCUUUCAAACAUUUUUUUAAAGACCUCCUAAAUCAGCCAUCCUAGUACAAACACACACACACACACAGACACACACACACACACCUUGUGAAUUGUUCCAAUUGCCUUCACCAUCAGCAUCUGUGCAGGUACACAUAUACACAUGUCAAAUCCAAAAUGUAUAAAUUUGGCAACACUGUAUAAACAUUUCUUAACAUCCUAGGCAAUUAUAUGGAAUAGAAACAUUCAAGUAGAAAAUCAGAGAGAAAACAUGCAUCAGUGCUAUGAGCAGCACCUGCAGUCUAAGCAUGUUUUAUUGAAAACUAGGAGAACUAUACAGUUAUCACAAACCACCAUAAGACACAGGUAUAACAUUAGAAGUGAAUAGACAUCAGGACUGACGGAUUGACUAGAUUACAUUGUGGAAGAGAAAAAAAUUAAACCCAAAUUGUUGACUGGGUUCAAUUCAUCAACAGAAAAUACGUACUGACAUACUCCAUAGUAGCCCUUUUUUUUGUUUUGUUUUUUUUAAAGCUCUCUAGAAGCAUAAGUCAACAAAACCCAGGGGUUAAUUUUUGCAUCAACAGCCACCCGGUUUAUAGAGGCCACUUCCUAACGUUUUAAUUAUGAAAAGCAUUUCAUGUUCUCAUUUCAAAUUGAGUUAUUUUCAAUAAAUAUUUCAUUCUGGUUAUGAA